rnacentral:tRNA from 1 species
GGUCGUAUGCCCGAGUCUGGUCAGGGGACCGCCUGCAAAGCGGUGGACGCCGGUUCGAAUCCGGCUACGGCCU